AACGAACGCUGGCGGCAUGCCUAACACAUGCAAGUCGAACGAGACCUUCGGGUCUAGUGGCGCACGGGUGCGUAACGCGUGGGAACAUGCCCUUAGGUUCGGAAUAACUCCCCGAAUGGGGUGCUAAUACCGGAUAAUGUCUUCGGACCAAAGAUUUAUCGCCUUUGGAUGGGCCCGCGUUGGAUUAGCUAGUUGCUAGGGUAAAAGGCUACCAAGGCGACGAUCCAUAGCUGGUCUGAGAGGAUGAUCAGCCACACUGGGACUGAGAGACGGCCCAGACUCCUACGGGAGGCAGCAGUGGGGAAUAUUGGACAAUGGGCGAAAGGCUGAUCCAGCAAUGACGCGUGAGUGAUGAAGGCCUUAGGGUUGUAAAGCUCUUUUACCCGUGAUGAUAAUGACAGUACCGGGAGAAUAAGCUCCGGCUAACUCCGUG
rnacentral:rRNA from 1 species